CGGCGGACGGGUGAGUAACACGUGGGUGACCUACCUAUAAGACUGGGAUAACUCCUGGAAACCGGGGCUAAUACCGGAUAACACAUGAAACCGCAUGGUUUCAUGAUGAAAGACGGUUUUGCUGUCACUUAUAGAUGGACCCGCGGCGUAUUAGCUAGUUGGUAAGGUAACGGCUUACCAAGGCAACGAUACGUAGCCGACCUGAGAGGGUGAUCGGCCACACUGGAACUGAGACACGGUCCAGACUCCUACGGGAGGCAGCAGGC
rnacentral:rRNA from 1 species